rnacentral:tRNA from 1 species
GGGGUUGUGGCUCAGUGGUAGAGUGCUUGCCUACCAUGCAUGAGGUACUAGGUUUGAUCCUCAGCACCA